rnacentral:rRNA from 1 species
AGACGUCUACAUUAGAUACCCCCUGUAGUCCCAGCCCUAAACGAUGCGCGUUAGGUGUAUCGGUGACCACGAGUCACCGAGGUGCCGAAGGGAAACCGUGAAACGUGCCGCCUGGGAAGUACGGUCGCAAGACUGAAACUUAAAGGAAUUGGCGGGGAGCACCACAACGCGUGGAGCCUGCGGUUUAAUUGGACUCAACGCCGGGAAGCUCACCGGAUAAGACAGCGGAAUGAUUGCCGGGCUGAAGACCCUGCAUGACCAGCUG